rnacentral:rRNA from 2 species
ACCGGGUGGCGACCGGCGCACGGGUGAGUAACGCGUAUGCAACUUGCCUAUCAGAGGGGGAUAACCCGGCGAAAGUCGGACUAAUACCGCAUGAAGCAGGGGCCCCGCAUGGGGAUAUUUGCUAAAGAUUCAUCGCUGAUAGAUAGGCAUGCGUUCCAUUAGGCAGUUGGCGGGGUAACGGCCCACCAAACCGACGAUGGAUAGGGGUUCUGAGAGGAAGGUCCCCCACAUUGGUACUGAGACACGGACCAAACUCCUACGGGAGGCAGCAGUGAGGAAUAUUGGUCAAUGGGCGUAAGCCUGAACCAGCCAAGUCGCGUGAGGGAUGAAGGUUCUAUGGAUCGUAAACCUCUUUUAUAAGGGAAUAAAGUGCGGGACGUGUCCCGUUUUGUAUGUACCUUAUGAAUAAGGAUCGGCUAACUCCGUGCCAGCAGCCGCGGUAAUACGGAGGAUCCGAGCGUUAUCCGGAUUUAUUGGGUUUAAAGGGUGCGUAGGCGGCCUUUUAAGUCAGCGGUGAAAGUCUGUGGCUCAACCAUAGAAUUGCCGUUGAAACUGGGAGGCUUGAGUAUGUUUGAGGCAGGCGGAAUGCGUGGUGUAGCGGUGAAAUGCUUAGAUAUCACGCAGAACCCCGAUUGCGAAGGCAGCCUGCCAAGCCAUGACUGACGCUGAUGCACGAAAGCGUGGGGAUCAAACAGGAUUAGAUACCCUGGUAGUCCACGCAGUAAACGAUGAUCACUAGCUGUUUGCGAUACACAGUAAGCGGCACAGCGAAAGCGUUAAGUGAUCCACCUGGGGAGUACGCCGGCAACGGUGAAACUCAAAGGAAUUGACGGGGGCCCGCACAAGCGGAGGAACAUGUGGUUUAAUUCGAUGAUACGCGAGGAACCUUACCCGGGUUUGAACGCAUUCAGUUCCCGUUGGAAAUGGGAGUUUUGAGUAUGUUCGAGUCAGGCGGAAUGCGUGGUUUAGCGGUGAAAUGCUCAGGAGGUGUCGGCUUAAGUGCCAUAACGAGCGCAACCCUUGCCACUAGUUACUAACAGGUGAUGCUGAGGACUCUGGUGGGACUGCCAGCGUAAGCUGCGAGGAAGGCGGGGAUGACGUCAAAUCAGCACGGCCCUUACAUCCGGGGCGACACACGUGUUACAAUGGCGUGGACAAAGGGAAGCCACCUGGCGACAGGGAGCGAAUCCCCAAACCACGUCUCAGUUCGGAUCGGAGUCUGCAACCCGACUCCGUGAAGCUGGAUUCGCUAGUAAUCGCGCAUCAGCCAUGGCGCGGUGAAUACGUUCCCGGGCCUUGUACACACCGCCCGUCAAGCCAUGGGAGCCGGGGGUACCUGAAGUCCGUAA